GAUCAAGCGAGUAAGGGCACAAGGUGGAUGCCUAGGCAUGGACCGGCGAUGAAGGACGUGGCAAGCUGCGAUAAGCCAGGGGUAGCUGCAAGCAAGCGUUGAUCCCUGGAUUUCCGAAUGGGGAAACCCGGCUGGGGUGAUGCCCAGUCAUUCCUUGGCUGAAUACAUAGGCCUUGGAAAGCGAACCGAGGGAACUGAAACAUCUAAGUACCUCGAGGAAGAGAAAACAACCGUGAUUCCCUUAGUAGCGGCGAGCGAAAGGGGAACAGCCCAAACCAUGGAGGUGCCAAGGCGGCAGCCGUUGCUUCCAUGGGGUUGUAGGGGUGAUUCGUGGGAAUCUGCCGAUUCCCGGAGUGAGCGCGACGGUGAGUCGAAUCCGUCUGGAAAGCCAAGCCAUAGAGGGUGACAGCCCCGUAGGCGAAGCCGACGUUGCGAGUUCUGAGUCAUUUCCUGAGUAGGUCGGGACACGAGAAAUCCCGAUUGAACCCGGCAGGACCACCUGCCAAGGCUAAAUACACGUCCGUGACCGAUAGUGAACGAGUACCGUGAGGGAAAGAUGAAAAGUACGCCGGGAGGCGGGUGA
rnacentral:rRNA from 1 species